rnacentral:rRNA from 1 species
AUGAGCACCUCCUCCGCCCGCCGCUCCUCGCCGCCGGCGAGGCCGGCGGCUUCCUCGUCCGGCCAGAAGCGUGCGAGGGGCGACGAUGAUCCCGGCACGUCGCUCGUUUCCAACGCCGACCCCGCCUCCGUCCCAGCCCCCGCCCAGAACCCUCGCCGCGCCUUCGCCUCCUCCCCGUUCGCCGACUUCGGGAGCUACAUGUCCGCGAAGAACAGCAAGCUCUCCGCGCAGUUCGACGCCGACGCCUCCACCUCCGCCGCCGCGGCGCCCGGGGCCCUGUUCGCGGGCGUCUCCAUCUUCGUCGACGGAUUCACCGUCCCCUCUAGCCAGGAGCUGAAGGAGAUUAUGCUGAACAACGGUGGCCGGUUCGUCAACUACUUCUCCAGGCACACGGUGACGCACAUCGUCUGCACACACCUCCCGGAGAGCAAAAUGCGGAAUAUGAGAGCAUUCAGCAAGGGUCUUCCUGUUGUCAAGCCGGGGUGGGUGGUGGAUUCCCUUGCAGAGAACCGGCUCCUCAGCUGGGUUCCAUACCAAAUAAGUCAGCAUAAUUCUUCAAGCCGAAAGCAGAUGAAGCUUUCUGCUUUCUUUUCUGGGAAACAAAAUGGAAUACAGUACCAGAGCAAUCAAAAUGAUGAUAACAAAGACCUUGAGUUCCAAACUUCUUCUGCUCAGGAGGGAUCACGUGACCAAACCGAGUCUUGUGAACAGCAAGGGCCAUUACUGAAUGUGGAGGUAUCAGAAGACUCACUAUCCUCAGAUGAACAUAGAGUUCCAUUAAUGAAUGUGGAAGUAGCAGAGGACUCACUAUCCUCAGAUGAACAUGGAGUUCCAUUGAUGAAUGUGGAGGUAGCAGAGGACUCACUAUCCUCAGAUGAACAUGGAGUUUCAACAUUUGAAGAACGAGAUGGUGAAGAUUUUGCAGUGGAUGAGGAUGAUAAUGCCUGUAAAAUAGCAUUUUCAGAAAGUAUGGAUAAUGACAUGGAUCCUGAACUUCAUGUGGCUCAGUCUCCUGAUGCUACUUCAAGGUUUUCAGAUGUAUGCGGUACAGGCUCUGUGGGCAGCCAUUUGUCAAUUGGUUCAUUGGAGAAAGAUACAGCUAAAUCUUCUAGCCGGUCACAUUCAACCCUGACAGAUCCUAAUUUUGUAGAGAAUUAUUUCAAGCAUUCUCGACUGCAUUUCAUUGGGACUUGGCGAAAUCGCUACCGCAAGCGCUUCUCAAAUUUACCUGGAGCUAAAAGCAGUAAGGGCAACAAUGAUCAUUCAGGGAAGAAGAAAACAAUCAUUCAUAUUGAUAUGGACUGCUUUUUUGUAUCUGUCGUCAUCAGAAAUAGGCCAGAGCUGCACGAUAAGCCGGUAGCAGUUUGUCAUUCCGACAAUCCUAAAGGAACUGCAGAAAUAUCAUCUGCAAACUACCCUGCACGAAACUAUGGGAUAAAGGCUGGCAUGUUCGUUAGAGAUGCCAAAGCUCGGUGCCCUCACCUAACGGUUGUUCCUUAUAACUUCGAUGCAUACGGGGAGGUUGCGGAUCAGUUCUAUGGUAUUUUGCAUAAAUAUUGCACUAAGGUUCAGGCUUUGAGCUGUGAUGAAGCUUUUUUGGACAUGACGGAAUGCUUACACGAUAAUCCAGAGGAAGUUACAGAAAGAAUGAGAAAUGAAAUUUUUGGUACAACGAAGUGCACUGCCAGUGCAGGUAUUGCUGAAAACAGGCUCCUAGCCCGAUUAGCCACCAGAUCUGCAAAGCCGAACGGACAGUUAUUUAUUUCAUCUGAGAAGGUUGAUGAUUAUUUGAGUACCCUCCCUAUCAAAGCACUUCCAGGCAUUGGUUAUACUGUUUCCGAUAAACUGAAAAGCAAUGAAGUUGAACACUGUGGUCAGCUUCGCAACAUUUCGAAGGAUGCUCUCCAUAAGGACUUCGGAAAAAAGAUCAGUAAUAUGCUAUGGAACUAUUGCAGAGGAAUUGAUCAUUCAGUUGUUGAAGCUGUUCAGGAAACAAAAUCUGUGGGUGCCGAAGUCAAUUGGGGAGUCAGAUUUAAUGAGAACAAAGAUGCUGAUAAUUUUCUAGUCAACCUCAGCAAGGAGGUUUCUUUACGCUUACAAGGAUGUGGACUACAGGGCCGUACUAUUACCCUUAAGGUGAAAACAAGAAGGAAAGGUGCUGGAGAGCCACUAAAAUUUAUGGGGUGUGGUGACUGCGAAACCAUGAGUCGCUCUACCACGAUGACAGGUGCAACUGACAAUUUAGUCACGCUUCAGAGAAUUGCAAGACAAUUGUUUGCAGCUUUGCAUGUUGAUGUGAAGGAAGUGCGGGGAGUUGGACUAAAAAUGUCAAAGCUUGAGCAUGCAGAUUUAGGUCGCGGAGCACAACAAGGGAAUAUGCUUAAAUCAUGGCUUGGUUCAUCAUCUGAGAAGCUCAAGAAACAAUGCAGUGAGAGAACCUGCUUUCUUGGGAACAGUGAUGGUGCAGGAGCCACUACCAGUGAGGUGCGAAAUUUGGGAAGCUCCAGAUCAUCACUUACAGGUGUUGCAUCCGACUUGUCAAAGGUGAAGCUUACAAGUGGUAGGUCUACCAGAGUUCAUGCCGCUGAGUUGCCACCAUUAUCUGAACUUGAUUUGGAGGUCCUCAAGAACCUUCCUCCAGAGAUAAUAUCUGAAAUGAAUGACAUGUAUAAGGGAGAAUUGCAUGGUUUUCUGUGCACGAUAAAGGGCGAUGAAGGCAAGGAAAGCAAUUCAAAAUCUCGUGUUUUACCCGCCGUUAACCAGAACUCUGUACCUGUUUGUAAUGCAAGGUUGCACCAGUAUGGAGAGCGCACUGACUCCAUUCAUUUGGAAAAACGGAAUAAUAUUAAGGGGGCAUCAGACCAGGAAGUUCAAACUGCCCAUGCUUCGUGCUCAAGAGCCAAUGAAUUGAUUGAUACAGAGAGUGUCACGCGGCUUGAUUUCAUGCCUAAUUCUCUAAGCCAGGCAGACUUCACAGUUUUGCAGGAAUUACCCGAGGAUGUCAAGGCUGAUUUGUUCAAUGUGCUUCCAUUACAUAGGCCAAUAGAUCCUACAUGCCGCACUUCAAAUGUUACUGAAAAUAAAUCUCUGAAGAAUGGAGGAACUGAUGAUCCAAAAAAUCCAGUGAUUUGUGUUCUGCCAGGAAGUUCUCAGAAAUGGGCGGAACAGUUAAGAGUUAGCAGUUCCCUACUAUUGAAUGCCAUUGCAGAGCAACACGCAAAUUCUAUCUCAAGUCAACCUUUAUCUUCAAUUUUAGAGCAUGUUGCUUCCCUCCUCCCUCUGUGUCCUACCCCAGGUAGCGAAGAAUGGAGCGACACACUCUCCCGACUCUCUGUUCUUCUUACGGAGUAUAUACACCUGAAAGUUGAUUCUGAUAUUGAAGAGCUGUACAAAUGUUUCCUUCUUUUGAAAAGGUUCUCGUCAGCAUCUGAGCUUUUUCUGGAAUUGCACAACAGCAUUCUUCCUUUACUACAGGAUUCCAUCACUCAGCAUUAUGGUGGGACACUGCGUCUCUAG